UUAACUAUUAUAUAGUACUCAGACAAUAAUAAAUUCAAGAGUUGGGGGUUCUCUGGCGAGCACUCACCAGCCGAAGCCGGUGGCCGAAGCGGCUCGCCAAAGCAACAUAGGUAUGAUAACAUAGGGUUGGAGAGUCACCCGUGAGGGCGAUGUUCUCUGUAAUGAUCCUUCCGCAGGUUCACCUACGGAAA
rnacentral:misc_RNA from 1 species